rnacentral:tRNA from 1 species
GCCCGGGUGGUGGAAUUGGUCAGACACGAUGGCCUCAAAAGCCAUUGGGCUUCGGCCCGUGCGGGUUCGAGUCCCGCCCCGGGUA